UUUUUAAAUUAACUGAACAUUUACACAAAAGAGACAGGGGUUUAAAACUAAACAGAUAGUGGAAACAGUUUAACUUUCAACAACAGUGUACAUGUUGAGAGCAAAUAUAGACUAGUAGAGAAAAUUGCCUUUUUGCACAUCUGGGUUGAUAUUAUAAGAUUUAAGCAACUAUAAUAUAAAAUUCUAUACACAUAGGCAGUGAGAAAAAACUUUUAUGGUCUGAAACAAUUUUCAUGCUAUAUGUCAUAAUAGAAGGUCUUCUAGAAUCCAUGUAUGCCCAACAAAAGCCACUGAAGGGAAGCUUACCAGAGUGCCAUCGAGUUCCUUCCCCUAAGGAUCAGACUUCCAGACUCAAGUGUCAUUUGACCUGGUAUCCAGCUUAAUACAGCCUCUGCUUUUGAAUAGAUUUCCUUACAAGUGGCAAUCUCUAAUAGGGUCAUGUCGAGAGGCAACCCGACUGCAUACUACCUACUGCACGUUAACGUGAUGAAGGUCUCUCCUGAGCACACGGCUUCAUAAACCAGCUGCACAAGCAACUGCAUCUGGGGAUCUGCUUCAAGAGAAACUUAACUAAAGCAAGAAUGGGCUCUAACUUCAGGAUACCUAGGAUUCUAACCUCGUUCCAUUACUUACCAACGAUAUGACCUGGGAAAAAUUAUAUACCUGCUACACGAUGAGCAUACUUGGAAAGGAGUAGGUCAGG
rnacentral:lncRNA from 1 species